CUCCUCCAUUAUGCAUGCUUCAGAUAGACAAUAUAAGAGAGCUUAAAAAACUAACAUUAUAUAAGUUUUACACUAUUUUGAUUUAUUUAAAUGUACUUAGAUACUACAACCAAGUACCUCAUACUUGAUUUCUUUUUUAUUAAGUGAAAUUUCUCUUACUAAUGAAUUAACCUUUUUCAUGAUGCCUUCCUUAGGAUGUUUCAACCUGCUGCUGGUGUCUUAAUUUCUAGAGGAUCGAGGUAAGCAUAACUUAAUUUGAUAUCUCAUAAGUAUUUUUUUAAUUAAGUGAGACAUUCAACUACAAAUUAAUAAUAGUCUUAAUAAAUAAAUGUUAACUAAUGAGUGAAAUUGAUUAAAUCAUUUUAACUUAAAAUUCUUUGAUGUAGAAUUUGGAGCUGCAAAUCAAGAAGUGCACAUUGGAAUUGCAGAUUGUAGAUGCUAACAUAAGGGACUAUGUUCCAGGACCAGAGCAAGUGUCUUCUCUUCAUCAACUCUCUUGGUGUGAGAGCAACUUGCAAAAAUCUAUCCAAAAAGUUAUGGCUAAAAAGAGCCAACAACAAAAUAUGGUGGUAGAUGUCCAGCAAAAUUCAACACAAACAUUUGGACAAUCACCGAGCCAAGAACAAAACAUGGUGGUAGAUUUUCAGUAUAGUCCAACACAAACAUUUGGACAAUCAUAGGCACAAGUGACUUUGGGUGAAACUAGUGAGAACUCUCUCAUAAAAUUCUGGCAUGUCUCAACUUGGAAUAACAACUUGAAUGAUCCCUCACAAUUAGGGUUGGAGAUUGUCCAUUCAAAUUGGAAUAACAACAUUAAUAACAACAACAGUAACAAUCAGAUCAUUCAACAUAAUGAUCCUUCUUCCAUUCAAAUUGAUGCAAUAACUCCUAAUGUUAAUGGAUUUAACAAUUCAAUGGAGGAGAAUAUCAUGGAAAACAGUAAAUACUUUGCUGAAACAACACCUGAGAAUGAUGCAUGCAAAUGGGAUGAUAUCGAUGCUUUCCUCAAUGAAGCUUUGAAUGAAGAAGACUUCUGAAAUUUAGAUUGAUCAACCAAUGAAAAAAACUUUUCUUUAUCUUUAGUCCAUUUAAAAGAUCACAGUCUUUUGAUAUUUUAGUUUUAUUUUACUUAUAUCAGUAUGCAAUAUAUCAUCUUAAUGUUAGUAGAGUGGCCUAUCUAAGAAUAUUCGAAAUAAAUUGUGUUAGCAAUAUAAUAUGUAUUAAUACUUCUUAUUAUUGUCCAUUUAAAUUAUAUGGAGGUUUUGCAACAAGCUUGGAAACA